GAUGAACGCUAGCGGCAGGCUUAACACAUGCAAGUCGAGGGGCAGCAUGAGACGGAGAUUCGUCGAAGUCUUGAUGGCGACCGGCGCAAGGGUGCGUAACGCGUGAGCAACUUGCCCGUUUCUGGGGAAUAACCGGUGGAAACGCCGACUAAUACCCCAUAGUAUAGACGAAAGGCAUCUUUUGUUUAUUAAAGAAAUUCGGAAACGGAUAGGCUCGCGUGACAUUAGCUAGAUGGCGGGGUAACGGCCCACCAUGGCGACGAUGUCUAGGGGUUCUGAGAGGAAGGUCCCCCACACUGGAACUGAGACACGGUCCAGACUCCUACGGGAGGCAGCAGUGAGGAAUAUUGGUCAAUGGUCUGACGACUGAACCAGCCAUGCCGCGUGAAGGUCACGGCCCUAUGGGUCUUAAACUUCUUUUGCAAGGGAGCAAUAAGAGCUACGUGUAGCUUGAUGAGAGUACCUUGCGAAUAAGCAUCGGCUAACUCCGUG
rnacentral:rRNA from 1 species